CACACAUACAUAUAUAUUUUUAAAUAAAUAUUUGUGUUGUUUCAUUUUGAAUUUCUUAAAAUUCUAGAGAGAUUUCUUUUCAUUCUUUUUUUAAAAUAUAGUGUAUUGGGGAUCAAACCUAGGCCUUACACAUGCUGACAAGUGCUCUGUCACUGAGCUACAUUCUUAACCAUGAUUUUUCUUUUCUUUUUAAAUUAUUUCUUAGGGAAUAGGGGUGGUAGGGAAAGGGAGGGAGAAGGGGAAUAGUAAGGAUGAUUUUUCUUUUUUUUUUAAUUUUUUAUUGUUGGC
rnacentral:lncRNA from 1 species